rnacentral:tRNA from 4 species
UGUAGAGAAGACGAAUGGAAAGUCAUCGGGCUCAUGCCCUGAAGAAGCGGGUUCGAGUCCCGCCUCUACAG